rnacentral:rRNA from 1 species
UGCGUAGGCGGGCUAAUAAGUCAGUGGUGAAAUCUCUCGGCUCAACCGGGAAACUGCCAUUGAUACUGUUAGUCUUGAGUUCGGUUGAGGUAGGCGGAAUGUGUAAUGUAGCGGUGAAAUGCUUAGAUAUUACACAGAACACCAAUUGCGUAGGCAGCUUACUAGACCGACACUGACGCUGAGGCACGAAAGCGUGGGGAGCGAACAAGAUUAGAUACCCUGGUAGUCC